UCGGUGUUUCCACUGAGGAAGGGCUGUGAAACUCGACUGGACCGGGAAACUACAUUCCUUAAAGACAGCAGAACAUAAGAAGGCUGGAGACGUGGACACUGUGCUCACCCCUAAGGGAAAUUCACAGUGCUACAGAGGAAUGCAAAAGGGGAAUGAAGACUGGAAGGUGAAGAAGGAUCUUUCUGAGGAAACAUUGCUGAGACCUGAAGAAAUGGAAUGUGAUAACAAGCACGUGGUUUGCUGAAGAGCACGUGCGAAGGCCUUCAGAAAUUGAUUCAGUGCUCGCUAUAUCCUAGAAUGAUGCUUGAAAUUUACAUCAUCUUCAUCUCUGACCACAACUGAACAACACAGGCCAACAAGAGAGAAGAGGAUUUCCUGGACUGAGAAGAAAGGGAUGAACAGACUGGAAACCACCUGGAUUACUGAAUGACUACAUGGAGAAGAUUCUGCCCACUUUCCUUUCAACAACAUACAUUGGGCUUACUAAGUAUUCAAUAUUUCUGGUAUUAAGACAUUGACAAUUUAUAAUUAAGAAUUAGUCCACCUGGCUAAUAGAGACAACCAUCUGGUACAUCUGAAAUUAUUUAAUGGGAUUGUUAAAUAUAUAAGUUCACAAGU